AGGAACCACCCGGGGCCAUGGACGGAGCAGUGAUGGAAGGGCCGCUCUUUUUGCAGAGUCAGCGCUUUGGGACCAAGGUGGAGGAAGACCUGGGCCGUGCUCUACCCGGCCAGUCCCCACGGCGUAGCUCGGCUCGAGUUCUUUGACCAUAAGGGGUCGAGCUCUGGGGGUGGCCGAGGGAGCUCGCGCCGCCUGGACUGCAAGGUGAUCCGUCUGGCUGAGUGUGUGAGUGUGGCCCCUGUCACCGUGGAGACCCCCCCUGAGCCCGGCGCCACUGCAUUCCGCCUGGACACUGCUCAGCGCUCGCACCUGCUGGCGGCCGACGCGCCGUCCAGUGCAGCCUGGGUGCAGACGCUGUGCCGAAACGCCUUUCCGAAAGGCAGUUGGACUCUGGCUUCUACUGAUAACCCACCUAAGCUUUCUGCCCUGGAGAUGCUGGAGAACUCCUUGUACAGCCCUACCUGGGAAGGAUCCCAAUUCUGGGUAACGGUGCAGAGGACUGAGGCCGCCGAGCGCUGUGGCCUGCAUGGCUCCUACGUGCUGAGGGUGGAGGCUGAGAGGCUGACUCUCCUGACCGUGGGGGCCCAGAGUCAGAUACUGGAGCCACUCCUGUCCUGGCCCUACACUCUGUUGCGUCGCUAUGGCCGGGACAAGGUCAUGUUCUCUUUUGAGGCCGGCCGCCGCUGCCCCUCAGGCCCUGGAACCUUCACCUUCCAGACGGCACAGGGAAAUGACAUCUUCCAGGCAGUUGAGACUGCCAUCCACCGGCAGAAGGCCCAGGGAAAGGCCGGACAGGGGCACGAUGUUCUCAGAGCUGACUCCCAUGAAGGGGAGGUGGCAGAGGGGAAGUUGCCUUCCACACCUGGCCCCCAAGAGCUCCUCGACAGUCCCCCAGCCCUGUAUGCUGAGCCCUUAGACUCCCUGCGCAUUGCUCCAUGCCCUUCCCAGGAUUCCCUAUACUCAGACCCCUUGGACAGCACCCCUGCUCGGGCAGGAGAGGGAGUACAACGGAAGAAACCUCUCUAUUGGGACUUGUAUGCGCAUGCGCAGCAGCAGUUGCUGAAGGCCAAGCUGACGGACCCCAAAGAGGACCCCAUCUAUGAUGAACCUGAGGGCCUGGCCCCAGUCCCUCCCCAGAGCCUUUAUGAUCUGCCUCGGGAGCCCAAGGAUGCAUGGUGGUGCCAAGCUCGGGUGAAGGAGGAGGGCUAUGAGCUCCCCUACAACCCUGCCACUGAUGACUACGCUGUGCCACCCCCUCGGAGCACAAAGCCCCUCCUUGCUCCCAAGCCCCAGGGCCCAGCCUUCCCUGAACCUGGUACUGCAACUGGCAGUGGCAUCAAAAGCCACAACUCAGCCCUGUACAGCCAGGUUCAGAAGAGCGGGGCCUCAGGGAGCUGGGACUGUGGGCUCUCUAGAGUAGGGACUGACAAGACUGGGGUCAAGUCAGAGGGCUCUACCUGA
rnacentral:sRNA from 1 species